CUUGGUCAUUUAGAGGAAGUAAAAGUCGUAACAAGGUUUCCGUAGGUGAACCUGCGGAAGGGUCAUUAUUGAAUAAACUUGAGCAGGCUGUUGCUGGCCCCUCCUGCAAAGGGGGCAUGUGCACGCUUGUCAUCUUUAUUUCUCCAACCUGUGCACAUAUUGUAGACCUGGGAGUGUUUGAAUAUUUUCGAGUUGGGACUGCUGCACGGUUGUUCGUCAGCUUUGCCUUGAUUUUUCAGGUCUAUGUCAUUUUCACAAACCUCUGAACUUGUUUGGAAUGUAAAAAAACCUAUAAAAAUAUACAACUUUCAGCAACGGAUCUCUUGGCUCUCGCAUCGAUGAAGAACGCAGCGAAAUGCGAUAAGUAAUGUGAAUUGCAGAAUUCAGUGAAUCACCGAAUCUUUGAACGCAUCUUGCGCUCCUUGGUAUUCCGAGGAGCAUGCCUGUUUGAGUGUCAUUUAAGUUCUCAAACCCCCACAUUUUGAUGGGGGGGUUUUGGAUGUGGGGGAAUAAUGCAGGCCUAGUCUGCUCCCCUGAAAUGCAUUAGUGGUAUCUGAGCAAAAUAAGUACUACAGGUGUGAUAAAUGUAUAUCUAUGCCUCUGGUAUGCUUGCAGAAACAGAUUGCACCGCUUCCCAACGACUUUAUUAUUAUUCUUUAAAGACCUCAAAU
rnacentral:rRNA from 1 species